AAUAUAGAAAUUCGAAAUCUUCUAGAAUAAUAAUUUUAGGGUCAGGAGGGGCAAAAUUGCAAAAGCAAUUACUUAUCGCAGUUAACCAUGAAUAAGUAAAACCGCGGAUAUCGAAUCCCCAGAUACUCUAUUAAAAUCAUCGCAAUUACCAAAUUAAACUCCUACCGAAUGAUUUACAGACACCUACAACAUAUUAGCACAAUUAUCGAGAACCUCAUGAACUUACGUCCUUGUAUAUCCUGUACUGGUCGAUGGCCCAAACGGUGGGCACGUGAGUUGUCAAAAGUUGCGAAAGUGACACGUGUUUAUUGCAGGCCCUUGCGCAUAUCAGCCUGGUCUUUCCAACUGCCGUGUCACCGACGACCACACACUUGA